rnacentral:rRNA from 1 species
UCCUACGGGAGGCAGCAGUAGGGAAUUUUCGGCAAUGGAGGAAACUCUGACCGAGCAACGCCGCGUGAAUGACGAAGUACUUCGGUAUGUAAAGUUCUUUUAUCAAGGAAGAAUGACUCGUGGAAAAACGAGUGUGACGGUACUUGAUGAAUAAGCCCCGGCUAACUAUGUGCCAGCAGCCGCGGUAAUACAUAGGGGGCAAGCGUUAUCCGGAAUUAUUGGGCGUAAAGGGUGCGUAGGCGGUUAUUUAAGUCUUUGGUGUAAGUGCAAGGCUCAACCUUGUGAUGCUAAGGAAACUGGAUAACUUGAGUGUGAUAGAGGUAAGUGGAAUUCCAUGUGUAGCGGUAAAAUGCGUAAAUAUAUGGASGAACACCAGUGGCGAAGGCGGCUUACUGGGUCACAACUGACGCUGAGGCACGAAAGCGUGGGGAGCAAACAGGAUUAGAUACCCUGGUMGUCCACGCCGUAAACGAUGAGUACUAAGUGUUGGAGAAAUUCAGUGCCUGYAGUUAACGCAAUAAGU